rnacentral:lncRNA from 1 species
GGGGUCUUUGUCUCUCGCUGGCGCUGGCACAGGAGCUUGGGAUCCGUCUCCUCUUUCGCCUCCUCCACCUUGGGAGCCCCGGGCUACUCUCUCACAGCCCUUGUUGCCCUGUGAUCUGUAGGUCUUGGGGACGCAUAGUUAAGGUGCCAGGACAUCCUGGAAGCUGGGAAAUGAUUUCUUCCAGACCAUGGCUGGAGAAGGAAAGAAGGUGUGUUUUGCCUGAUUCAGGGACUAUAGAGAGAACCAAGUUCUGCAGGCCUGUCACCUAAGUCUCAGCUGGGUGUCACAAACUCUGAACUGGAUUCCAAGGCUUUCAUGAAUGCACUUAUGUUUGCUGUGGCAGCUGCAUUAUGUCGUGGGGGAUGUGGAUGCAGAACCUCACAUUCUGUCGUCUUGCUUAUGUUACUCUCCUUUAUGUUUCACUUUCUCAAAUGAAUGUCAAGCAGGUGAUUUUCAGAUUCAAAAGUUCUAAAAUAAAUUGCUCAAAUUUACACAUUAUGUAAGCUGUUAAUAAAAUUUCUUGUAGGUGCUACAUAUUUAUUAAAAUUUUUGGUUGUAAUUUUAAGCUCACUGUAGGCAGAAAGGAAUCAUUAAGAUUUCUAUUCUUUUUUAGUCUGUAUCUAAAUGACCGUAUAUUUUAAUUCCAAGUAUUUACUUUAUACUUCAGUAAUGCUCAUUGUAUUUUGCAAAAUUUAUAUUGUUCUUUUAUUUGAAAAUAUAAGGCUUUUUUUUAGCUCCUGAAAGCUAUAUUAUAGUCAUAUAGUUUUAUUAUAGUAUUUGAUAAGAAGAGCAGCAACAUAUUGAGAACAGAAUAAAAUUCUGCUGUCUUUUUAAUGAUUAUUUAUUAAAUUCUUCUCAUUAGAGCCUAUUAUUAAUGAUUGUAAUGUAUUUUCUGUAUAAUUUUACUGCAAUUUAUUAAAUGCCAAUGACUUCCAA